GCCGGAGCGCGGGGCAGAGGCAGUGGCCGUGGUUUGGCGACGCGGCAGCAUGGUGAGCAGCGGGCCGGAGCUGGCCGGGAACGGAUCAGUGCCGGGCGUGAGGGCGGCGGCGGGCGAGGGGCCGGAGGCGGAGCGCGGCGGCGGCGGCGGCGGCGAGGUGCGACUGUCGCGGCGGCGCUGGGCCGUGGUGCUGCUGUUCAGCUCGUACUCGCUGUGCAACGCCUUCCAGUGGAUCCAGUACGGCAGCGUCAACAACAUCUUCUCGCGCUUCUACGGCCAGCCCGCCUUCGCCAUCGACUGGCUGUCCAUGUGCUACAUGCUGGCCUACAUCCCGCUGCUCUUCCCCGUGGCCUGGCUGCUGGACUGCCGCGGGCUGCGCCUCAUCGCCCUGGCUGGCUCGGCCCUCAACUGCCUGGGCGCCUGGCUCAAGCUGGGCAGCCUCAAGCCACACCUCUUUGCCGUCACCGUGCUGGGCCAGGUCGUGUGUGCCGUGGCACAGGUCUUCAUCUUGGGCAUGCCUUCACGCAUUGCCUCUGUCUGGUUCGGCGCCCAUGAGGUCUCCACUGCCUGCUCCAUCGCCGUCUUUGGCAACCAGCUUGGCAUUGCUGUGGGUUUCCUUGUCCCUCCAGUUCUGGUACCUGAUGUGGAAGAUCUAGAGCAACUGGCCUAUCACAUUAGUAUUAUGUUCUUCAUCACUGCAGCUGUGGCAACUGCACUGUUCAUCCUUGUUAUUAUUGUGUUCCAGGAGAAGCCACCACAUCCUCCAAGCCGGGCCCGGGCCUUGAUCCAAUCAAAACCACCGGAAGACUAUUCCUAUCUGCACUCCAUCCUCCGGUUGCUCCACAACACUAACUUCCUGCUGCUGAUGAUCAGCUAUGGUUUGAAUGCAGGUUGCUUCUAUGCCCUGUCCACGCUGCUGAACCGCAUGGUGCUUUCGCACUAUCCAGGGGAGGUGGUGAAUGCUGGCAGAAUAGGACUCACCAUCAUACUAUCUGGCAUGGUUGGAGCUUUAAUCUCUGGUAUCUGGUUGGAUAAAACCAAAACCUACAAAUAUACAACACUUGUGGUUUACAUCAUGUCCCUGGUGGGCCUGGUGGUCUACACUUUCACCCUGAGCCUUGGCCACCUCUGGGUGGUCUUCGUGACAGCAGGUGCUCUGGGGUUCUUCAUGACGGGGUACCUGCCCCUGGGCUUUGAGUAUGCUGCAGAGCUAACUUAUCCAGAGUCAGAGGGAACGUCUUCAGGCCUCCUUAACGUGUCUGCACAGGUUUUUGGAAUAAUUUUUACCAUCAGCCAAGGACAAAUCAUGGAUCACUUUGGGACAUGGGCAGGAAACAUCUUCCUUUGCUCCUUCCUGCUUGUAGGGACCAUCAUAACUGCAUUCAUUAAGGCUGACCUCCGCAGACAGCAGGCCAAUCUGGAAAGUGAACAGACUAGACUCCAGGGCAGCAGUCAGAUCACGGAUUACGGACAGUAGCUUGUAGCCUUAACCCCAUCACUUCCCAUUCCUGCUUACUAGCUCGCACACACAAGGAAGAAGUACCUGAGGGCUCCACUGCUCCAAUGAUCCUUGAGGAAUCGAGGCUGUAAGAGGGAGGGGUGGCAGAGCUGGGGGAUGCUGCCUGCCAUCUUUCCUUAGCCCUAUCUUUGCCACCAGCACGAUCCUUCUGUUAUGCACGUAGCAUGGCAGUGGGACUCUAGGAAGCUGCUCACAGAGAAAAUGGAAAGAAGAGACUGGGGCUAGAGUCACUGUCCUCAGCCUGAAUCUGUUUUCACUGCUGCAUCCUGUGUUGGAGAGCCUGUUGCUCAGCAGGGAUACUGAGCAAAUGUAUUGGCUUCAGGUCUCCUAUCAACCUGUAACACCAGUGCCUCUAAAUCCCAAGUCCAGCAAAGCACUGAGCAAAUACGGCCUAGGGUGUGUGCUUCUGCCCUUGUCUCCUCUUCCAAAGAAGCCAAAACAAGAACCUGCUUUGUGAAGGGCAUAGGACAACAUUGUGAGCAUCCCCCAACACCGGGCAUGACCCUUCCUUCAGAAGUGAUGGGUCUGCCCUAGUUCAGCACUGCAGUACCUGUCACCCAUGACCUGAAUGGCUAAGCCUCUCGUGUCCCCAGCCCUUGCAAAGCACCAUGACUUCCAUCAGCAGCUCUUGGCUUUGGACAGGGGCCUCCCAUCUCAGAGUUUUGUUUUAUGGACUAAUGUGAUAUUAUAUUUUAAUCAAGUUACUCUGAUGCUUCUAGAGUGACAGGUUUUAAAGAAAAUUUAGGAAGCACCAGCAUAAGUGCCGAUGGCCAGUGCAACUGCUUCUCCUCCCUGCAGGGCCAGGUCUGGCCUCUUCAAAGUGCAGUGUGGACUAGCUGAACUAAUACGUGGCACUAGCCUCAAGGACCAUUGUAGCAAUAAUUCUGACUGGAGACUGAAUUCCUUGGGUCCCAGACCAUGUCCUUACUGGUUAAAGCACCUUGUACAGUGUUGAUUAUGUGUUUUGUGGCUGUCUGAGACGAACAGCUGUGACUACACCCCUUUACCCAAGUCAUUAGUCUUAAAGUUUCACAGUGAAGGGGGCCCAGGUGGCUCUGACAGGGAUUCCCUGGAUUUUAUUCAUAACUGGAAACUACAUAUCUUUUGGAUGCUUCACCUCUCAUUCAUCAUCAGUCUUCCCUCCCCCACACUCCCACUUUCUGACGUCUAGUCAGGAACAUCAGCCCUACUUCCCUUCCCAUUUCCAGUCAUGCAGCCUCUCCCCUCUCCUGAACCAUCACUGGCUUUCCCUUCCUCCCUUUUCCAACAUUAUGCAAGUGCUGUCAAAUGCAGCAAAUGCUCAGUUGACAAAGAUAAGGAAAGUGGCAUUGGAGAUUUUCAAGUGUUCUUAAUGAAAUCAGGUUUAGUCAAGUUUUCAAAACUUAAAUCUUAUGAACUGAUACAUACAGCUCAUUUCCCUAUCAGAGUGCUGCUUUUGAUAUAAUCAAAAGUUUUUGUGCAAUUGUGUCAAUUUUGAUAUUUUAUUUUAGAAAAAAGUUAUAAAAAAUCUUGUGUUUUAAAACACCUCCUUGUGGUGAAAUGACCUUCCUUCUAUUUCAAUGUUAAAAGUUUUAUAUAAAAAUAAUUUCAAAUUUUAUAAAAAUGAAAUGGUUUUGGCUCAAACAA